rnacentral:tRNA from 1 species
GCUCUAAUAGCUUAAUCCACAAAGCAUUGUUCUUGUAAACCAAAGCUGGGCAAACCCCUUAGAGCA